AUUGAACGCUGGCGGCAUGCUUUACACAUGCAAGUCGAACGGGCUUGGGGGCUUGCUCCCAAGUUAGUGGCGAACGGGUGAGUAAUACAUCGGAACGUACCGUGUAGUGGGGGGAUAACUUAGCGAAAGUUAGGCUAAUACCGCAUACGAUCUACGGAUGAAAGUGGGGGACCUUCGGGCCUCACGCUAUACGAGCGGCCGAUGUCUGAUUAGCUAGUUGGUGAGGUAAAGGCUCACCAAGGCGACGAUCAGUAGCGGGUCUGAGAGGAUGAUCCGCCACACUGGGACUGAGACACGGCCCAGACUCCUACGGGAGGCAGCAGUGGGGAAUUUUGGACAAUGGCGAAAGCCUGAUCCAGCCAUGCCGCGUGUCUGAAGAAGGCCU
rnacentral:rRNA from 1 species